GCGGGGGCAGGAAUCGGCUAACACCCAAGUCUGGUUUGGAACUAGCUGAGAGAUAUGCCUACAUCCUCACCUCUUCUCUACUUUCUGCCACCUGACUGCUCUUGAACAUGUCUCUUAGUCUCUGGGACGUUCCCAAUUCACUGUGAUCAGGAAGACUAAAAGGAACCUCCAUGUAAAACACUGGUACAAGGAGGAACCUCUGAAGGUGGUAUGACGACUGCCUGCACCACCGAGGAACACGGAGAAGGUGGAAAUCAUGGGCAAAUUUAUGCUGCUGCCUUCAAGUGUUUUCCCUCCUCCCGCCUCGUCUCCUGCCUCUGGCUUUCCCAUCCCGCCCAGCCCGACUGCAGCAGAUAGAGCAUCAAGUCAUCC